rnacentral:rRNA from 1 species
CCUACGGGAGGCAGCAGUGGGGAAUAUUGCACAAUGGGGGAAACCCUGAUGCAGCAACGCCGCGUGAGUGAUGACGGCCUUCGGGUUGUAAAGCUCUGUCUUCAGGGACGAUAAUGCCGGUUCCUGAGGAGGAAGCCAUGGCUAACUACGUGCCAGCAGCCGCGGUCAUACGUAGGUGGCGAGGGUUGUCCGGAUUGACUGGGCGUAAAGGGAGCGUAGGUGGCAUUUUAAGUGAGAGGUGAAAUACUCGGGCUGAACUUGAGGUCUGCAUUUGAAACUGGAAGUCUAGAGUGCAGGAGAGGAGAAUGGAAUUCCAAGUGUAGCGGUGAAAUGCGUAGAGAUUAGGAAGAACACCAGUGGCGAAGGCGAUUCUCUGGACUGUAACUGACGCUGAGGCUCGAAAGCGUGGGUAGCAAACAGGAUUAGAUACCCGGGUAGUC